rnacentral:rRNA from 1 species
GGGGGUUUAGAUAUAAGAUCGCUCCUCAGACAGAACGAACGCGGCAGGCAUGACUCACACAAGUAGAUCGGACGACGGGAGUUUAGUCCGCGAGUGAGGAGCAGACGCGUGAGUAAGACUUACGAAUAUGCAUGGUAGUGGUGGAGAGGGAUAGGUAAGGAAAACUAAAACUGCUUCCGUCUUCCGCGAGAAAGCAAAAGGCGGUGCGACCUUGCGCUAUCAGAUGAGCCUAGAUCAGAUUAGCUAGUUGGUGAGGUAAAGGCUCACCAAGGCGACGAUCCGUAACUGGUCUGAGAGGAUGAUCAGUCACACCGGAACUGAGACACGGUCCGGACUCCUACGGGAGGCAGCAGUGGGGAAUAUUGGACAAUGGGGGCAACCCUGAUCCAGCCAUGCCGCGUGUGUGAAGAAGGUCUUUAGAUUGUAAAAGCACUUUAAACAGGGAGGAGAGGCUAAAGGUUAAUACCUCAGCAGAUUAGACGUUACCGUGCAGAAUAAGCACCGGCUAAC